rnacentral:rRNA from 1 species
GUGCCAGCAGCCGCGGUAAUACGUAGGGUGCGAGCGUUAAUCGGAAUUACUGGGCGUAAAGCGUGCGCAGGCGGCUUUGUAAGACAGGUGUGAAAUCCCCGGGCUUAACCUGGGAAUGGCGCUUGUGACUGCAAGGCUUGAGUUCGGCAGAGGGGGGCGGAAUUCCACGUGUAGCAGUGAAAUGCGUAGAGAUGUGGAGGAACACCGAUGGCGAAGGCAGCCCCCUGGGUCGCGACUGACGCUCAUGCACGAAAGCGUGGGGAGCAAACAGGAUUAGAUACCCUGGUAGUCCACGCCCUAAACGAUGUCGACUAGGUGUUGGGGAAGGAGACUUCUUUAGUACCGUAGCUAACGCGUGAAGUCGACCGCCUGGGGAGUACGGUCGCAAGAUUAAAACUCAAAGGAAUUGACGGGGACCCGCACAAGCGGUGGAUGAUGUGGAUUAAUUCGAUGCAACGCGAAAAACCUUACCUACCCUUGACAUGCCAGGAACCUUGCUGAGAGGUGAGGGUGCCCGAAAGGGAGCCUGGACACAGGUGCUGCAUGGCUGUCGUCAGCUCGUGUCGUGAGAUGUUGGGUUAAGUCCCGCAACGAGCGCAACCCUUGUCGCUAAUUGCCAUCAUUCAGUUGGGCACUUUAGCGAGACUGCCGGUGACAAACCGGAGGAAGGUGGGGAUGACGUCAAGUCCUCAUGGCCCUUAUGGGUAGGGCUUCACACGUCAUACAAUGGUCGGUACAGAGGGCUGCUAACCCGCGAGGGGGCGCUAAUCUCAAAAAGCCGAUCGUAGUCCGGAUUGCAGUCUGCAACUCGACUGCAUGAAGUCGGAAUCGCUAGUAAUCGUGGAUCAGCAUGUCACGGUGAAUACGUUCCCGGGUCUUGUACACACCGCCCGUCACACCAUGGGAGUGGGUUCCACCAGAAGUAGGUAGCUUAACCGCAAGGGGGGCGCUUACCACGGUGAGAUUCAUGACUGGGGUGAAGUCGUAACAAGGUAACC